GCUGGAAGUGGACGCGAGCUGCAAAUGUGGGCGUGGCUGCCUAUAGACAGGCCUCCAAGGGCACCAAGAGCUUGCAGCCGCUUCCUGUGCCUACCUGAAGUUACUGCCCAGCCUGGGGACACCAGGGUGGGCCUGGGAUAGGAGCCCCAGGGGGUCCGCUCUACUUGCCUCUUAAUGGCUCACCAGUCGUUGGAUUUCUGCCAUCGGGACCUGUCCCUGAGCCCCACAUUGGGUAUAAAAUACAACAGAUAACAAGUUGUGACUGUGAGAACAUUUUCAAUUACCUAUGUGGCUCUCAUUCUGUUUCUGCCGCAUGGUGCUGGGCUGGAGACUUCCAAGGCCUUCUGAUGUGAGAGCUGUAUGAGCUACGU